GGAUGAAGGGCUCAGCCGCAGCUACGUGGCGGUGUCUGCGCAACGUCCGCGUGGCCACAAGCGUCCAGUGCCAAGUGCCUUGGCACGGGAGCCUGGUGCUUGGGGAGGCCUGCAUUUGGGGGUGGAAAACAAACCCCGGAACCUGUGCGAAGAGGUGGCCACGUAUCUAUAUCCCCAUGCCAGACGCUCCCCGAGGUGUUGCAGUGAGAGGAGCGCUGGAGCCCUGUCCCAUGCUGACAAAGAAUGAAACUGGACAACGCAGGAGGAGGCAGGGAUCUGGUCUAUCCAGUGCUCACGCAGUGUCCCCUGCAGGGCCCGUGUGCCCGCCCUCGACUAUCCUGUCUGGAUAGUGCUCCGGUGUGUGUCCCAGACAGCCCAAAGACACCUGCCGCAUUUUUGGUUUCCCCCUGGGGUCCCUGGAGGGUCUUGACUGGGCAGGCUGUCGGGGGCCUUCCCGACUCCAUCUGAGGGCCACUGUGCUCCAAGCCUAAGAAAAUGCUAACUCCUCUCUCGCUUAUUCCUGGUACUCGACUCGACCCGUGCUCCCCAGUCUGCUCUGAAGCCACGAGACGCCAGGGGGUUUCGAGGGAUUGCUUGGGUGGAAGUCUGGGCCUGGACCGUGAUGCAGUUUAGCUGUGUCACCCUGGAAAACUGACUGGUCUCUCUGCGUUUCGGUCCACAGCGGGGGGUGGACAAUAAGGGCACGUUUACACUUUUGAGUUAGCCACACUGAAAAAAAACAUCCUCGUGUGGGACAAGGUCUCCUAACUUGCGUUCCAUUUCCCGAGUGGGGUCCAACUUGGGAGCCGACCCUCCCGCCGCUUGAACCCCCGCCCCCACCCCCGAGUGCCGAGGGAUGGCAGGAGGGCUACUCCGGAGGGUGUCCCUCUCCAAGGGACACUCCAUCCCCGCCUUCCCCUUCCCCGGGGCCUUGACCUCGGGCUUCUUCCCAGGGCGUGCGCCCGCAGCCACCGGGUGUCCUGCCGCCUCUAUCCAGCCAGAUCUUCUGCCUCCACGCCCGCAGUCGAGACGGUGCC